UACAAAUAAUAAAAUAAAUAUUUUUUUAUUUAAUUAAUAUGAAGUUUUAUAAAAUAAUAUUUUAAUUUUAAAAGGUGAAAUUUUAUUUUAAAUUAAUUUUUAAUUAUAAAUUAAUAUGAAGUUAAAAAAAAUUUUAAAAAAACUAGGAUUAGAUACCCUAUUAUUAAAUUUAAAUUUGUAGAUUAAAAAGUAUUAUUAGUUAUAAGCUUAAAAUUUAAAGAUUAUGGCAGUAUUUUAAUCUAUUUAGAGGAAUCUGUUUAUUAAUUGAUAUUCCACAAUUAAUUUUACUUAAUAUAAUUUAAUUUGUAUAUUGUUGUUAUAAAAAUAUUUUUUAUAAAAAAAAAUUUAAAAAUUUUAAAAUAAAUUUAUAUCAAAUCAUAAUGCAGUUUAUAAUUAAGAAUAUAAUGGAUUAUAUUAAUUAUAAUUUUGAAUAAUAAAUUGAAAUAUUUAUUUGAAAUUAGAUUUAAAAGUAAUUAAAAUUAUUUUUUUUUAAUGAAUAUAAGUUUUAAAAUA
rnacentral:rRNA from 1 species